GCCCCGUCAGGGCCCGCCAUCUUGGAAGGCCUUUUUUGCCGGUUCUUCCCGCUGAGGAAGUGUCGCUCAAGACGCUGGCCUAUGAGUUGUGAUUUCUGCCUUUUCCCCUUCCUCCUUGGGCUAAGCCAGACCAGAAAGGGCCCCGUGCGCAACGUGCUUCACAAUCUCUCAGGGAAAGCGGCUAACGUGGCGCUACUCCGCCUCCCCUGUUCCUUACCCUUGGGGCGGCCGCCAUGUUUCCUGAACACAAAAUGGCGACACGUGGUUAGCAUUCGUCGCCAACGAGAAAUUGGGGUCGGCCCGAAAGCUCUAGAAUGCACCCCUCUUCCUCCCCGGGGCCUUCCACCUCCGCGAGUUUUAUGACUUAAAAAAGCCCACAGGCUGGUCUGAAGAGGAAGACAAACAUAAAGAUGAAGUGCUUAAUUCAAGGUCACACAAUGUCGGGGAUGGACCUCCAGAUUUCCUUACUGACCUGCAUUAUCUUGUGGAUACCUGAGUGAAUUCCACACCACCCAUUUUAUAGAUGAAACCACUGAGACAUGGAGCAAUUGACUGAGUAGUCACUGCCCCACCCCUGCCUGGAGCCUCACACAUGACUCGCCUCCUCUCAGUGACCACAGGUGAGACGUGGUCUUGUAACACAGUGGUUAAGAAUGUGACUUUGGAGCCAGCCUGCUAGGGGCUGAAUUCUGACUCAGCCAUUUACUAACUGUGUGACCUUAGGGAGGAGGACCUGGUUGAUAGAAGAAUUUAUCUCGUAGUCUUAACAUCCACUGUAAUUCCAAACUUUGAGGACGAUAGAGAUCAGUGG
rnacentral:lncRNA from 1 species